CGGCGAGUGAAGCGGCAACAGCUCAAAUUUGAAAGCUGGCCCUUUUAGGGUCCGCGUUGUAAUUUGUAGAGGAUGAUUCGGCGAGGGCUCCCGCCUAAGUCCCCUGGAACGGGGCGUCAUAGAGGGUGAGAAUCCCGUAUGCGGUGGGUUGCCUUAGCCAUGUGAAUCUCCUUCGACGAGUCGAGUUGUUUGGGAAUGCAGCUCUAAAUUGGAGGUAAAUUUCUUCUAAAGCUAAAUACUGGCCAGAGACCGAUAGCGCACAAGUAGAGUGAUCGAAAGAUGAAAAGCACUUUGGAAAGAGAGUUAAAAAGCACGUGAAAUUGUUGAAAGGGAAGCGCUUGCAACCAGACUUGUCCGCAGUUGCUCAACCGGUCUCCUGACCGGUGUACUCUUCUGCGGCCAGGCCAGCAUCAGUUCGGGCGGUCGGAUAAAGACCUUGGGAAUGUAGCUCCUCUCGGGGAGUGUUAUAGCCCAAGGUGGAAUGCGGCCAGCCUGGACUGAGGAACUCGCUUCGGCAAGGAUGCUGGCGUAAUGGUUGUAAGCGGCCCGUCUUGAAACACGGACCAAGGAGUCUAACAUCUAUGCGAGUGUUUGGGUGUCAAACCCAUACGCGUAAUGAAAGUGAACGGAGGUGGGAACCCGCAAGGGCGCACCAUCGGCCGAUCCUGAUGUCUUCGGAUGGAUUUGAGCAAGAGCAUAGCUGUUGGGACCCGAAAGAUGGUGAACUAUGCCUGAAUAGGGUGAAGCCAGAGGAAACUCUGGUGGAGGCUCGCAGCGGUUCUGACGUGCAAAUCGAUCGUCAAAUUUGGGUAUAGGGGCGAAAGACUAAUCGAACCAUCU
rnacentral:rRNA from 1 species